rnacentral:lncRNA from 1 species
GUAUCCCAACAACAGGUUUCGGGCCCAGAUUCACAGCACUUACAGGAGAGUAAGACUGCGACAGACUGCUGAAAGGUAUGUGGAGGAAAAGCGAAAGUAAGGCUUUUCUGUUUGCCGCGGCAAGAGCUUUGAUGUCCGGCUGGCAGAUUAAUGGAUCUGGGAGCCGCGCCAAAGGCCUCAAGAUUUAUGAGCUGCCGAGAUAAGACGUCUCUGAAGUGAAUAAGAUUCACGGCUCAAGUAGAAACCUGGAAUGGAGUUUUUCCAGGCUUCUGAGGCUGCUGCGUGCCCAAAGUUAAAUCGGCACAACUAUCAGACCUGGGCAAAAUGGUGUGAGAGUUUGCUGCGUCAGUUUGGAGUGUGGCAUACUGUGUCUGAGGCCCCUCCAGUUCCUCUGACAGAUAGAUGGAAGGCCGAAGAUUCGAAGGCCGUUGACGUAAUCGUCUUGUCCGUCUCUCUGGAGGAAAUAAAGACGCUAGCUGGCAAUCUGACUGCACGAAAGAUGUGGCAUGCUUUGAAGAUAGCCCAUCAGCCAGUCAUCCCAGCCCAGAGUUUGACUGCAUCGGAGGUCCUGGCUGUUUCCCAGAAUGCGAGUGAAUGCAGGGAUGCUGAGGGCACCGGUUGCAAGCUGCAGGGGGGAGCUGACUGUCACGUCAUCCCAGGCAGCAUUCCAGCCUCCAGGGGGAGCCAAGGAGUCGGCAGCUGAGAGCUCUGUUUCUCAUGGGAACCAAGGUCAUCGCCUUUGCAGAGGCCGGAAGGGCAAAGGUAAACAGAGGCAGACGCCUGCAGAUGGCCAGAAGCAGAGGGAGGGUGAAGAGCCCACGCCAGAUGAAAACAAAGUUUUGUUUGCUGGCACAGCCUCACCAAAGGCUAAAGGCAAGUCUGAUGGCCAGGAGCAGGGGGGCAAGCUGCAAAAGCCCACGCUGGUGGAAAACAAGGUUUUGCUUGCUGCAAAGGCUGCUCCAAAAGCCAAGGCCAGGUUUGUUGUUGAUUCAGGCUGUACCCGCCAUAUCUCAAAGGACCGCCACCUAUUUAUCUCCUUCAGACCUCAAGAAGGUGAGAUCCACCUGGCUGACGGAAAGACGUUGCGAAUUGCAGGAGAAGGGACUGUGAAACUGGCAAGUCUGCACACUACCAUCAAAGAUGUACUAUAUGUUCCAGGCGCUGCAGACAAUUUGCUCAGUGUCCCACAGCUGACUGGGCGUGGUUUUGAGAUUUCCUUCAAGAGGAGCGUCUGUGUCAUCAGAAAAGGCAAAGAGGACAUUUUGCAUGCAAAGUUUAUGGAUGGCUUGUUCUGUAUAACUUAUGACGACAAUGGUGCUGUUGUGUCUAAUGCUGAUUCUUGUUGUGUUGCACAAACUAACAAAGUUCUUCAUGCAGGAUGCAUUCAUGAUGCACACAGAAGAUUUUGUCACAUGUCUUGGCAGGCGCUGGCCAAGAUGCCAGAGAUGGUUGAGGGUUUGAACAUCAAACCCUGUAAGUUUCACAUGAAAUGUGUAUCUUGUGCAGAGAACAAGGUGAAGGUUGCUCCAAAAGGCAAGGAGUCUAGCAGGCAGGCUUCCAAACCCUACCAGCUAGUGCACGCAGACCUGGUUGGUCCACUUGCGCCCUCUUUGGGUGGAGCAAGGUACUUCAUGGUUCUAAUUGAUUCUUUUUCCAGGUACAUUCAUGUGUUUAUGCUCGAGCAGAAAUCGCAAGCGUUUCCUAAGUUCAAGGCAUUCUGUGCUUGGUUGGACAAUGUUCAUGGUAAACGCAUUGGCUGUUUGUUUACUAAUCGAGAGGCUGAAUUCACUUCUCGGCAGUUUGAAGCUUUCCUGACUGAGAAGGGAAUCCAGCAUAGCCUCUCAAGUCCUGGAUCUCCAUGGGAGAUUUGUGAGCAAGCAAAGCAAAUGUUGCUGCAAGGACUGAAAACAUUGUUGCAUGAUGCCAAUCUCCCUGAGAAGUUUUGGGGGGAGUCUUUGAACUCGUAUGUUUACACUUAUAAUCGCAGAUUGUCAUCACCUAUUGGUUGUACCCCCCUAUGAGAAGAUGUUUGGUAAGAAACCCAACAUCAAGCACAUGAGAAUCUUUGGUUCUGACAUGUGGGUACACACCCCACAGAGCAACAAGCUUGGGAAGCGUGGGGCACAUGGUUUGUUCAUGGGGUACGAAAAGGUGCAUACAGGGUGUGGAUGACCAACUCUAAGUCCAUUAAGUUCACAAAGAGUGUUGAGUACAAUCCUAAGUGGGGGGAAAAUGUGGGAAUUUUCCAGAGUUACCCAGAGGAGGAUGAAGGUGAUGUCAAAGAAGCAGCUAAAGCUGAGGAAGCUGCUGAGGAUGAUGAUGACGAUGAUGAUCAGAGUUCGGAUUCCAGUUCAGUGGGCGGCGCUGCUGCUGAUGUCGGUGACAGUGAUGACACAGCAGACUACAAGAGCGCAAAGGCCUCAGUCAGACCAUCUGAUGCGUCUGACAAUGAACUGGAAGAACCACUGUUCACCAUUGGUCACUUUUCUCCUAAGAAGGAGGAGAUGAGUCCAGAAGACUUGCGUCUAGUACGCAGAUCUGAGAGAGCCACGAAGGGCAGACCUCCAAAGAGAUUUGCUGAUGAGUUUGCUAAGACAGCAACUGCUGUUCUUAGUAGCUCAGAGAAGGUAUGGGAACCUUCAAGCUUCAAAGAGGUUCAGGAGUUAACCUCUAAAGAUGCUGAGCCUUGGCUUAAUGCCAUGAAGGCUGAAGUUGAUUCCUUGAACAGGAACCAAACUUGGGAACUGGUACCGGUAGUCCCAGGGAUGAGACUGGUUGGCAGCAAAUGGGUCUUCAAGGCCAAGACAGACCAGAAUGGCAAGGUUGUCAGACACAAAGCCAGAUUGGUUGCCAGAGGUUUUUCACAGGUACCAGGACAGGAUUACCACGAGACCUAUUCACCCACAGUCAAAUAUGAGAGCAUUCGGCUGAUGCUCAAGAUCGCUGCGGAGGAGAAACUGCAUGUUUCCCAUCAUGACAUUAAUACAGCUUUUUUGUACGGGAUUUUGGAGGAGGAGCUGUUUAUGCUUCCACCUGACGGGAUGCAGAUACAGAAGGGAAUGGUCUGUAAACUGCGGAAAUCCUUAUAUGGUCUCAAGCAGAGUGCCAGGUGUUGGAACACAAAGCUCACUGAGACAUUGCUUUCUCUAGGUUUUCACCAGGGCAAAGCUGAUCCAUGUGUGUUUGUCAAGGAGGAAGGGCAAAACAAACUGUAUUGUUUAUGUUUUGUUGAUGAUCUUCUGAUGUUUUGGAAGAAUCAGGCUUUCUACCAAAGCACCCUAGCUCAGCUGAAGGAGCACUUUGACAUGAAGGAUCUUGGUGAGGUAUCCAACUAUCUUUCUCUGCAGGUGGAGAAGGACCAAGCAGGUAAUUUUCUGGUACACCAAACACAGAAAAUUGCUGAUGUAUUAACCAGGUUGAAUUUGGUUGAUGCAAACCCAGCAGACACACCGAUGGUGACAGGUUACCAGGUAGAUAGUACUGCUGAAGCGUUUUCUGACACAACGCUGUACAGAUGCAUUCUAGGCAAGUUGAAUUUCAUUGCUAGAUGCUCAAGACCUGACAUAGCUGUAAGCUGUAACCUGCUUAGCAGACAUGCCAACAAUCCUACUGUUCAGGAUUGGAAAGCUCUGAAGCGCAUAGCCCGCUAUUUGAAAGGGACUAUGCACUACAGGCUGAGGUUCACCAGUCAGAAGACUGGAGGUCUUGAAAUCUUUGCAGAUGCAAGUUUUGGAAGUGACACCACGGAUGGUACAAGCACUUCUGGAGUAUGCUACAUGUACAACCACUGUCUGUUUGACUGGUUGUGCAAGAAGCAGACGACAGUGAGCCUAAGUUCCUGUGAAGCAGAACUCAAUGCUCUGUCAUUUUCACUCAUGGAUUGUGAAUGGUUGAUGCAACUGUUUAAGGACAUCAGAGUUUCUGUGAAAUGUCCUGUACAAGUGUAUCAAGACAAUAGAUCUUGUUUGGCUUUGCUGAACUCAGAGAGUUGCAAGCAAAGGACCAAGUACUUGCAGAUUAAGCUACAUCGUGCAAGAGAGUGUAUUCAGAAAGGACUCAUUCAGGUGUCCUACAUGCCAGGAAAUGAAAUUCCUGCUGAUCUGUUGUCUAAGGUUGUUAACAGAGAACAACUUAAGGUUUACGUACAAAGGUUGCAAUUGGGUUGAACCACAGGUACUACAGGUUACACGGAAAGGGGAGGAUGUUAGGAUAUUUCCGUUCCACCUUAAAAGGGAGCAGGCUUUGUGAGUCAGAGUCUGCGUAUUUCCUGUUCACAGGAUGUUUAUGUUUUCUGUUGCUUUCGUUUUCUCUCUGGUGUCGCAGACACUAAAGCAGGCAGUCAUGUUUUUCUGUGUUCUGAUCAACGCUGAAUAAACUUGUAAAUAAUGCUCUCCUGACUGC